rnacentral:lncRNA from 1 species
UAAACACAGCUUGUGGGCUUCCCUUGCUGCCUCCUUUCUUGGCAUUUAAGACAUACACCUGCCUGCAUUUCAGAUCUUUCUGGCAGGCUCAGGAACACCAGCAGGCUCUUUGCAGCCAUGGGCUGCAUUGAGAAAGUGCAAGAAAACCAAGUGAGGCUCUUGGGCUCUUAGCUCCUCAGCCUGCGUCUCCAGAGUGGCUUGGCUCUGCUCAGCAAGGGAGAGUGUGCACAGCCCAACACACAGGAACCCAGGAGGGGAGCAGGCCAGAAACCCCCACUGAGGGCUACUGCUGUUUGAGGUGAGGAGGCCCUGGCGCCCCCAGCCAGCUGGUCUGCGGCCAGGAGCACUGAGUGCCCUUAGUUUCUUGGUGGUGAUGACUUCCCUCUGCGGGUUAAUUAUGCAGCCUAAUAGCUGUUAUUACUCCUGAACACAGUGUGCUGCUGGCAGCCUGUGGCAGUUUUAAGGGCAGCUCUGUCUACCAGCUUCCCCUUCUCUGGGUGCCCUGCCCACCCUUCAGAAAAAUAAAGUGAGAGGGCGCCUCUCCCAGCAAGGCGGCGCUCAGUCCACGGCCGGCGGGAGCUUCCUCCAGGCUGCUGCCCUGCUAGUGACGUUGAUUAUUGGAGGGCAUUUUACUUUCUUGGGAGACCUGGGUUUGGGAGCUGACUAUGCCAGGGAGGAAGCGGCUGGGACCAGCAGUUUGGUGGAAAGGUGCUGAGCAUGCAACCAUAGCCUCAGGAUCUCCAGCGUUCAGCUCUCAUUUCCUGUGACUUCCGAAUGGGCACUUUGAGACAACCCACCUGGUGUCUUUCAUAACCUGGGUCCUGACGGCCCCUGGCAUUUCUUCAUCUGGGAUUGUGAACCCCCGUGGGCCAUGGCUAUGCCCCAUUCCUUGUGACAUACUCUGUGGAGGUGAGUUCAGAACUCAGUCCCCAACAUAUUUAUGGAGGCAAAUAAAAAACCCCAAAGGGGCAAUGCAGAAA